GCAUCGUGUAACCAACAUAUUCGGCAAUAUGGCGUUUGUUUUGGUUUUGGUUCUGUUUGGUCACGAAACUGAUCGAUGUGAAAUAUUAUAGAAUUAAAACGUUUUUUAUCAAAACUCGAGAAACCGCGGAAAACUUUCACGAAUGUGUUGUGCAGUGAUUUUUUCCCCCAUUAUUGUUCCUAGUUACAACGUCAUGGACCAACAAACGUCAUGGACCAGAGUUGAUCUGCGAUAACGCAUAUAUGAAAUUUGACAGCAGUGAGUGGAUAAACCUCAAUCCCACCCGCGGCAGGAAAUGCAGUCGCAAGGAUAAAGAAAUUCGAAAACAUUAGCCAACAAUGUAAUGGGACAUCUCUGGCGAGUGCAGUUCCCACUGUUUUCGAUGUAAAUAAUCUCAACUAGGUAAAAUAAACAAAUACCUUGAAAAAGCUGUGUGAUAAACCUCAAUCCCACCUGCUGCAGGAAAUGCAGCCGCAAGGAUAAAGAAAUUCGAAAACAUUCCAACAAAGUAAUGGGACAUCUCUGGCAAUUUCCACUGUCGGAACCGCUGCAACGGCAACCUUCAACAGUAGCAGCAGUACCUAACAAUUUAACUACGGG